GACGAACGCUGGCGGCGUGCUUAACACAUGCAAGUCGAACGGAAAGGCCCUGCUUUUGUGGGGUGCUCGAGUGGCGAACGGGUGAGUAACACGUGAGUAACCUGCCCUUGACUUUGGGAUAACUUCAGGAAACUGGGGCUAAUACCGGAUAGGAGCUCCUGCUGCAUGGUGGGGGUUGGAAAGUUUCGGCGGUUGGGGAUGGACUCGCGGCUUAUCAGCUUGUUGGUGGGGUAGUGGCUUACCAAGGCUUUGACGGGUAGCCGGCCUGAGCGGGUGACCGGCCACAUGGGGACUGAGAUACGGCCCAGACUCCUACGGGAGGCAGCAGUGGGGAAUAUUGCACAAUGGGCGGAAGCCUGAUGCAGCAACGCCGCGUGCGGGAUGACGGCCUUCGGGUUGUAAACCGCUUUCGCCUGUGACGAAGCGUGAGUGACGGUAAUGGGUAAAGAAGCACCGGCUAACUACGUG
rnacentral:rRNA from 1 species